UCCUGGAGUAACACUAGGACAUUGGGCCAAUAAACGAUGAUCCUUACAGGAACUUUACAUUGGUCCAGUUUUACAACGAACAGAGGAAAACCGCAAUUGCCUGCGGUGAUGGUAGAGUCAAAUUGAAAGCACUAUUCCAUAAGCGACUGAGGUGAAAUUGUAACCAGUGAACUGCUUACUGUCGCAAUCGGAUCCAGAUGAAAGGCACAUUCACGAGUGUUUUCUAAAAUAUGGGUGCCAUUACGUUUGAACAUGCGCACUCUCUCUUUCGAUGCAAUGUCAAUGCUAAUUAGAACCUGUAAUUUGCACGUAGCAAUAUAUACCUGUAAUUAGAUUCGAGAUUACAUCCAAUAUUUCAUUAUCAGUUAAUACUAUGGUUAAUGUUUGCAUUCGAUUAUUGUCCUAUGUUCAAAACACACUAUUUAAAUGACGUAACAAUCAUUGUAGAGUUCUGUAAUUACUGUUCUGUUGUAUGAAAACCGUGUUUAUGAUAUGACCAACGAUUUCCUCAUUUUUGCGGUUUUUGGAUGAGCUCCGUAAAACACGAAACGUGAAAAUAUAAGGUUUUCAGUUAUUUUCAUCAUAAUAAAAAUAAUAUUGCAUACAUAUGGUUGCAAUUUCUAACUGUGUUUAGUUUGUUUGGAAUAUAUAUAAUAAAAAUGAUUUGGAAAUUAAUGAGGCAUGCAUAGUCGUCCUUUUAAGCUCACAUAAUUGCACUUGAACGCCAAAACCACAGAAUAUAUAUAAAUAGGCACAGCGUGCGACCUCGUCACUGUUGACCGUAAGCGAUCGUGAGAUGAGCUCAGACUCAGCAUUCAGUCAACACGUAGAGUGAUCCUUAUUUCUGAUUCCCUUUCAGCAAUCGUGGUUUCCGUUAGUAUUGGCUAGCGAGUUACACAGGUUAGUAUACUAUUUUAGCACUUUACAGUAUACUAUAGCAUAAAGUUGUGAGAACUUGCUUCUGGUGUGUUCGUUUUCUGCGCUUAUGGCGUGUUCGCUUUUAUGUACCACUUUUGCGCUUGGUAGAUUUUGGGGUUUUUAGACUAGCGGUAUAUUCUAUGCCUACUGCAUUCGAUGUUUGAUUCCUCGUUGGUUUAUGACCAGAUUUGUUUGCGAUUUUCUGGUGUUUUUAUUAUUUUCAAGUACCUCGACAAUGACAGCUUGUUCUCAAUUAUUUUCCAACCAUGUUCCUUCAAGUGCCAUUCUUUGCCAAAGAUUUUCUUGCUCGAGGCAAUGCACGCGAAACGAUAAAGUUUAGUGCCAAGUCUUUCUGCCAAAUUGCAUGAAAUUGUAGACACUUGUCAAACCAAUUUAUAGUUGUUAGAAAGUGAAUUGAAAGCGCAAUGGUCUAUGCCUUCAAAUUUUUGCGUAUUCAUCACUGCAUGAUUAGAAAUCACAUGUCUUUGACUUUGCAUGUAAAUUCUUCGUUGCGGAAAUCUCAAAAUAUGCAUACUGUUCCCAAUUUAGUGGCUGUUUGUAUCAAGAACCUUUGUAUGUAGGAAUUUCACAAAACAGUUUUGAUCUGCGAUCAAAAAGACAUUAUUAAAAGGACUAUUUAAAAGUUAGACUUUGAGGCGUGGUUUUAUUUCUUCUGCACGCUAAAAUAGGGAUUUCCUACACAUGCA